AUUUUGUUAUAUACCCUCUUGAAAUAUGUGAUUUAAUUGUUUCUUCAUAUUUCUUUCCAUAUUUAGGGUUUUUGUCAAUUUUCCUUCCACAGGCCAUUAAUCUAGAAUACGCAUUGUUGUAACUCUCUGGAAGUCGUAUAUCUUCUUGUUUCCAAAACAAACCGAAUUCAAACCUGUCUUCUACACGCUUUGGAUAUUUGUCUACAAUUUCUAAGCACCUUUUGUCGUCAAGUGACAAAGGAUAGUCGUUCUUAACAGUUAGUUCGCUCUCGAUUGACCAGUAAGAUUUGACGAGCCCAACAAGGUUUUGCUCGCCACUGGUCCAUUAAAGGCUUCGUAAUGUAGUUUUCGUGAAACUAUAAGAGACCAGUUGUCUUGUCCUACCAACAUUUUUGGAUGGGCCUUUUCGUAUGAACAGUCAAUGAAGUUUUUCAAAAAUUUAAAAUUGUCGGUUAUGUCGUCUAUUUUCAGAGUUUGUAAAGACAAGAUAUACACAAGCUAUUCUGAGACACAUGCUCCCAUUGUUUGUCAAUAUAAUCCUUUUCUAUAUUCUUUGGUUGCAUUAUUUGGAUAAUUUGUAGCUGUUAAAGUACUAUCUUUGGACUUAUGCUGCCCCAGGCCUAUCAUGGUUGCAGCCUUAAUGGUUUCACUUAGCCAAGCCUUAAAAACUAUUAUUUUUGGCUCAGCUGAUCUAGAUUUUUAAAAGUGUUUCAUAAAUGCAAUUCGCUGUGACAUAGGUAAUUUUUCCAAUAUUUCGUCAUGUAACAACGGAUUAAGAAUAUGAUCUAAAUCUUCGAUGAGCAACAAUGUAUGAAUUAGAUUUGUAAUUUAUCAUAAAAUGAGAUUAGUCGUUCAUAUAUAUCGUCUUUUACAAAUGGGAAAUUCUUAAUUUUAUCAAUCAGUUGUCUUAUAAUAUGACUCGAGUCACCAAAUCUCUCUUUUAGGAUUUUUAUUAUCGUUAACACAUUAUCUGGUAACAACAAAAGAGAUUGUACACAUUAUUUGGCGCGACCUGUCAAUGCUUUUCUUAGACGACUUAAGUUUUCAUAGUUCCUAAAUUUACAAGCGUUUGUACUAUUUUCAAAUUCGGAAUAAAAUAUGGGCCAUUCUAAUGGAUCCCCUGCAAAUGUCGGUAGUUCUUGUUUUAUUGUCUGCCUUGCCAUGAAUGUUUCCACAUCCUGAUUAUUUCCUGACUUAUUAAGACUUUCAUUUUCAAAUUUAAGCUUACGUGUUGUUAACCCACUCACUUGUACGCAUCUCAGCGUAUUUGCCAUCAUUGUCGUCGCUGUCAUCUUCUUUUUCUUCUUCUUGUAGCUGCACCUCAAGCAGCUCUUGUUCCAAGUCCAGAUGUUUUUGUUGAAGUGUCAGCUGUUGGCGCUGCUCUCCCUGUGUUGCAAUUUACUGGGCAAGCUGCUGCUGUUUUGUAUUUAACUCCAGUUGUUUCAUCAGAUUUUGCACCUUAGACGAUGCGCGUGAGUUUUGGCUACUUUUGGCUGUUUGUGGAGAUCGGCCUUCGGACUGCUUGCCCUGCAGCCUUUUUGAUUACGUUGUCCUUGCUUUGAUGGUAGCGUCCAUUUCUUGUCGGUAUGAGGAGUGUGGAUUAUCUUAUUUUUUUUGUCCCAUUAUAGCUGUCUACGAUCUUUUGUUCAGCGAUUUGAACAGAUUUGUCGAUUUUAGAUGUCGUCACAACUUUAAUUUUUUUCCGCCAGUCUUUUCGGCACGUAUUUCGGUGUAUGUUUUCAUGUAUGUAUUCCCAUUUAUGUAUCCUGUCUGGAGCAUCACCAAAAACACGCAACAGUCUUUCUUUCUCUUUCUGUUGCACGUCUGUCAGUACACAUACACUAGUCGUCGUCAAAGUGUUAGCGCAUGCAUGCAGAUGUUCGUAUGUGUAUAUCUUGGAUCAGGCUUGGAAUACCCUGCAGUACCAGAAGUAAGCGAUGACAAAUGUCAACUACGCGUCAUUCAGGAUUUUUUCACUGCCGCUGCGACAGACGAGUAGAAUAUGAAGUCGACGCGUCGGUCAGACCAAACUCUUUUUUUUUCUUUGUUUCUUUCUGUUACGACGCGUGCCGUAACAUAAUUCGGUUUUGCCGUCGGCGUCGACAACGUUGUUAGAAUUGUGCUGUGAAAAAUGAGACGCAGGUUUUGUAUAUUUUGGGCAAAAUUAUUAUCAGGUAAGUGCAGUUUCAUUUAAUUAAAAAUAGUCUAUUGUGCGUUGUAAAAAAUGAAGAAAAUGUGAUAUUGCGAAAUUAAAUGCGUUUUCGACGACAUUUUUCAUUUCCAACAACGAAAACAGAAAAAAACACCCGAGUGGUUCUUGCGAGUCUUGAGUCGAGCAGGUACAUAUCUUGGCGGGUGUUUUGUUUUUGGCGCAAAUGCACUGCUGAUCUACUGAGAGCAUUGUUAACAAAUUGAAAAAUAUUUUAAUUAACACAUCUUAUUUUAAAGGCGAUUCAGUUGAUGUGCCCGGAACGACCACGACGGCCUUACGAACAUGAGCAAAUCAAAAAAACUAAAAAGGUUCUGUGGAAAAAAGAACACA